rnacentral:lncRNA from 1 species
CAAUAUAGGGUUCCACUCCCUAAUUGAUCUCCGACAUAACCCGAGGACCUUUUCUCGGCAUAAUCCGAUGACUUUGCCAGCAUAACCCGAUAACCUUUCCCGGCAUAACCCAAUGACCUUUUUCUUUUCCGACAUAACCCGAUGACCUUCUUAGCAUAACCAGAGGACACUUUUCUUUUCCGACAUAACCCGAUGACUUUCCCGACAUAACCCGUGGACCUCCCCGGCAUAACCAGAGGAUCUUUUUCUUUUUCGGCAUAACCCGAUGACUUUUUCUGACAUAACCCAAGAACUUUUUUCUUUCCCGACAUAACCGAUGGACACCCCCGGCAUAACCCAAAGACCUUUUUCUUUUCCAGCAUAACCCGAUGACCUUUUUCUUUACCGGCAUAACUCGUGGACCUCCCCAGCUUAACCCGAGAACCUUUUUCUUUUCCAGCAUAACCCGAUGACCUUUCCCGGCAUACCCCAUGGACCUCCCCGGCAUAACCUGAGGACUUUUUUUUCCAGCAUAACCCGAUGACCUUUUUUCUUAUUCCAGCAUAACCCGAGGACCUUUCCGGCAUAACCCGAUCAUUUUUCUAACAUAACCUGUUAAUCUCUUCCAACAUAUGAUCACAUUCCCUAGCUGAUGUCAGCAUAACAUGGUAAUCCUUUCCAAUAUAGGAUCUCACUCCCUAGCUGAUGCCAGCAUAACCUGGUAAUCUUUUCCGGCAUAGGGUCUCAUUCCUUAGUUGAUGCUAGCAUAACCUGGUAAUCUUUUCAACUUAGGAUAUCCGAUCCCC